GUAGGUGGCAAGCGUUGUCCGGAAUUAUUGGGCGUAAAGCGCGCGCAGGCGGUUCUUUAAGUCUGAUGUGAAAGCCCACGGCUCAACCGUGGAGGGUCAUUGGAAACUAGAGAACUUGAGUACAGAAGAGGAAAGCGGAAUUCCACGUGUAGCGGUGAAAUGCGUAGAGAUGUGGAGGAACACCAGUGGCGAAGGCGGCUUUCUGGUCUGUAACUGACGCUGAGGCGCGAAAGCGUGGGGAGCAAACAGGAUUAGAUACCCUGGUAGUCCACGCCGUAAACGAUGAGUGCUAAGUGUUAGGGGGUUUCCGCCCCCCUUAGUGCUGCAGCUAACGCAUUAAGCACUCCGCCUGGGAGUACGACCGCAAGGUUG
rnacentral:rRNA from 1 species